ensembl:snRNA U6 U6 spliceosomal RNA
AUGCUCACUUCAGCAGCACAUAUACUAAAAUUGGAACAAUACAGAGAAGAUUAGUAUGGCCCCUGCACAAGGAUGACACACAAAUUCGUGAAGUGUUCCAUAUUUUU